GACGGUCUUCUAGGCAGUGCUGCCGUCUCUGUGCCGUGAUCCCCCCGAUCUCCUCCCAUGGCUGCCGGCUCUCUCCACCCCCACAGGCCAGUUGAGGGGCCCUGGGGCAGCUAAGUCAGAGGCCUGCCCGGCUGGUGAUAAGCUGAAUGGGUGGGGCAUUUCGGACAGCGUCCAGCAUGCAUGAGUGUGCGUCUCCGCCUUGUGCGAGAGCAGCUUCCGCCGGCACCUUCCUUCACUUGGCAGCCCUUUAGUGUCCACAUGUGGUGUGCUGGGCGCUGCGCCGGGAACAGACCUGGCCCUGUCCUCUUGGAGAUCCAUGUGUGGUGGGAAACAAAAUCAACAGAAACCCUGGCUGUGGUUGUAGGUGGGCCACCAGCACUUGUCACACCUUGUCUACAGCUGCUUCGGGUCUCGCUGGGGUCUGGACAUUCCCCUAAAUUCGUGUAUUGAAACUUCAUCACCAAUGAGAUGCUAUUAAGAGGAGGAUGAAGUGGGCUGGCACUGUCUUGCAUGCAGAGAGGAGCCCUCAUCAGACACCCAUCCUACUGGCGCCUUGAUCUUGCCCUCCAGCCCCCGAAACAGAGAGAAGCACAUUCUGUUGCUUCUGAAGGGCCUAGUCUUCAGGAUUUUGUUACAGCAGCGGAAGGACUAACACAAGCCUUGAAUAAUCAUGACAAAGAUUGAUCUGGAAAAGAGAAAGUGAUUCCUCACCAGCCCUCUACAGAAAACACGUGUCCAGGCCUGCGUCUUUGGGACACAGCUGUUGGGAGUGGGGACAAUAACCGUACCCACCCCAUGGCUGUCGUGGCUGCUACAUGAAUCCCUGUCCCGCACAGAAGGUGCAGUGAAUCUGAGGCAGAGCUGCUGGGGUGGUCAGAGUGCCCCCGAUAGGCCCCUGCUCACUGGACCGUAUCAUGGAAGGCUCCUCAAAGGUGGGGAGGCAGACAGGCCGCCUGCUGUCUGGGGGUCUCACCUACUCGUUGGAAGGAAGGAGGACGUGGAGGCUGCUCCUGACCCGGCCUGAAGGGCUGCAUCUGCUAGGCCGGCCUCAGACCAGCCCUUGUUUGGCUCCUCCUCCACCUCCCCUGCGGACCCGCCACGAGUUCCAGGACAAAGGGGCCAAGCCUCAGACAGAAAGUUCCCCGAAGGUCAUAGCCAGGGAGGGACAGGGCAGGGUCCAAUCCCACUGCAUGUUGGACUUGCAGCCUUGCACCAGUGGCUGCAGAUGAGACCCCAGCUCCAACCCACAAGGCUCCAGCGCCAUUUGAGAGGUCUGUCUGGAACCAGUGCUACACGAGGUCUGCUGCACAGCCAGCUGGACCUGAGUCGGGGUUGAGUGGAAUCCUGGACGGAAGGGCCCUGCAUUGAAGAUGUGCAGGGCCGCCGAGCUGAAUGGCGUCUGCCUGACCUUAGGCUGUGUCUGGGAGCGUGAGGUGAAGAGCAGCCGGGACACCUCUGAAUCCUCAAGCUCCAGCAGCCUCCCAGGGCCCAUGAGGCAGGAGGCCCUGCUGCCUGGUCAGGGCGGUGUCCUCACAGUCCUCCACAGUCGCUGACAUCUGAUUCCCAACACUAAGCUCCCAUGGUCUCGACCCUGUGGUUUAGCUGGCCCUUCCCUGAGGCCCCCCAGGCCUCCUCGGAGCCUAUUGGACCUGAUGACAUCCCUGGAAUGGGAGAUGGAGCCAGACCCGGCCCAGACUCUCUGUCCUGCUAGACUCCUGGGAACACAGACAGAUGAGGGGAGAGGCAGCCGGCCAGCCCCCAAAUGGAGCUGGUCUCAGGUGGACCUUGGGGGGCCCAGAGCCCAUAAACUCUGGCUCUGGACAGACUCUCUGCAGAGGGCUUGCCAGUGGCCUGUAGCCAGGUCAUGGCUAUAGGUGGGAAGGCAUGGGGGGAAGGCAGACUCGUGUUUUCCUAGAGGUUGGAGGCUGCCGACCCCUAGCACACAGACCGGCAUGGUCUUGGUCGAAGUCUAGGUCUGGGGGUCUGGGAGUUCUGGGGUCGGAGGCUGGUCCACAAGGCUGGGCCCUGCACCUUGGGCCGACCGACCCUGGAGCAGCCCCACUCAGUAGUGCUGGCUGAGCUGGGGGUGCCUUUAGACCCACAUGCCUGGUGUCAAGAUCCUGGCUGUGUCAGGUGGAGGCUCCAACCUUUCCUGAGGAGUCCACAGCUGAGCGAGGGGGCCCAGGCCUGGGUGGGCAUCCGGGCGUGAGGGAUGAGUGUAUGACAGAGUGAGUGUGAGAGUGUCCCCUCUGCAGUUGGCACCAUCGCUUUCAGGGGACAGAACUCACACAAGGCUCUCUGGGUGGACUGGACUCCGGAUGGCAUUGGGAAGGGACUGUUCUGGGACAGAUGGGAGGUGGCCCAUGCCCUGCUGAGCCACACUGGCACUCACUUGGCCUCCACGUGGGGCCAGGUCUCUCUCCAGCCCCUUCCUGUUUGGGCUCUGAGGUUCGUGGAGUGAGUUCCUGGCCUGCAACCGCACUGUGAGUGGGCAGGCUUCCGUCCGCGGGUGGAGGAGCUGAUGGACCCCCGAGGGCCUGAGCUGCUAAGAGUGCCGGGUCUGGGCCCAGGUGUUGGCGACCUAGCUCCCUUCUCCGAAAUACUGCUCUCCUGCUGCCUCUGUGUGUCUGGGUGGGGAUUCCCACCGGGCACCUGCCCGGCAUCUGCCCCUCUUGCUGCUUCCAGCCGUGAGCUGGCCAUGACCACAUCAGAGUCCAUCUGCCUGGGGCAGUGGCUUAAUUGUGGGAAUUACAGUUUGAUGGAGCGAGAAGUGACUGGCAGGUGGAGGGAACUUGUCCCGGUUUUGGGCAGUGGUGCGUUUGGGCUUCAUGUGUCACUGGCCAAGACCCUCAGGGACGUUUUGCCUGCCGGAACAAGAGCAAAUCCAACAUCUCCCUGCCCUGGAGACUGGAACAGCUCCUCGAAGGGGUGGGCAGUGCCACUAGGCCUGGCUUCCAAGGGUCCCUCUGCUUGUCCUGUGACUGGGAGUCCUGACUGUCUGAGCCCACCGGGCCCAUCCACCCUCCUGCUCUUUUCCCAGGAUGUGUCCUGCCUGCCUGUGUCCCACCCAAACACCCCGGGGGCCCUUACUGCUCAGGUACAAUGGCCUCGCUCAGCAGCACCGCCUCGAGCCAUAGAGGCCUCCCAGCUCCUGCAGCCUCUGCACGUCCAGCCCUCUCUGCCUGCCCUGUGGCCCCGCUCAAAUCAAUUGCACGUGGGCUCCAGAGCGGGGACAGCCCAGGGUCUCAGCACACAGUUUGCUGUGCACGGCCCUCUCCCGGCCUGCAUCCCCUGCAGCCGUCGGCCCUCACUGGAUAAUGUGGGGUAUGGGGUGCAAAUGGAUUGGCCCACGGACUGAUUGACGGAUUGUGGCUGGCUGCAGAGCUGUGCUGGGAACGACUCUUGAGACGGCGUCUGAGCGCAGUGGGGAAGCUCCAUGCUCAGCAUCUGCAGGGGACAGGCCCCACUUCUGGCAGUGUUCUCCAGCCCCGCCCUCUUCACCUUUUCAGGACUGCCCCAUCUUAGUCCAGCAGGCAGACUGUCUGUUUGCAGAAGGCACCUCCCUCCACAGGAAGGAGAAGCAGCCUGGGGCUCCCCUUGAGGGCCUGAGGCUCUGGGCAGGUGGCUGGGUGUGCCCGGCACCCAUACUCAGCCCAGGCCCUGGUGUGAGGCAGACUCCUGUCCACUCAUGGUGUAUCUCAGACCCCUCUGUCGGGGCCUCUGGUCCAAGGGUUCAAUGCAUUUGGCCACAGCUGGAGAUCUACAGGAGAGAGAAAAGAGACUCCUGUCUCCCCGUCUUAGUGUGGUCUCUUCCUCUCUCGCUUUCCCUCUCUCUCCCUUUCUCUCUAUGUCCCUGUCUCUCUCUCUCCCUGUCUCUCUCUCUCUGUGUCCCUCUCUCCCUCUCUCUCUCUUCUUCCCUCUCUCUCUCUCUUCCUGUCUCCGCCUCUCUCUCCCUCCCUCUCUUGCUCUCCCUCCCUCUCUCUCUCUUUCUUUCCCUCUCAGUCUCUCUCUGUCUUUCUCUCUUACCCUCAAGGUUGAAGCCCCCUUGUCCAUGGGCUGCCUGUGGCCCUCAGACACCAUGUUCCGUGUUGCUGCCAUGUGACUUUCUUAAAUUGAGCUUUUUGCAGACUCCAGGAGCAGACUUGGUGGCCCUCUGCGCUCGUCCUCCCCGCUCCCUUUCUCUGGGCCCGGGCUGCACCUGUCUGGUCCCCGUGGGUGUCGUUUCCACCCCCCGUGUGCGGCUCUCAGGACACGGAGACAGGACGGGGCAGCUGACAAUGACGUGGGCUGGAGGGAAUGCAGGGAGCAGAGAGCCAGGGCUCCCACUGGGGAUGGGCAGAGCAGGUUCCUGGAGUGGGGGAGAGGGUGCCUAUGCUGGGCCUUAGCAGAGACUGAGGUCAGCUGGUGGAGGAGGCUCCGGGAAAGCCCUUCUCACCCUGAGGCCAGCACCUGGGGCACAGUCAGCAGCUCUCUGCUGUGGGUGGAAUUGUGUCCCCCCAAAAAUUGAUUGGCGUCCAAACCCCCAGAACCUGUGAACAGGACCUGAGUUGGAAGGGUCUUUACAGAUGUCGUCAAACUAGGGAUGUGGUUGUACCCUAAUCCAGUGGCUGUGUCUUUAUAAGAAGGGGGAGUUUGAGCACACGUAGGGAGCGCACCAAGUAGCCACAGAUGCCGAGACAGGACAAUGUGCCCGGGAGCCAAGCUGAGGAUGGCUGGAAGGCGGGGGUGGCCUGGAACAGAUCCCGGCCGGAGUCUCCAGAGGGACCCACCCUGCCGGCAGCUUGCUCUCAGCGUUCUGGCCUCCGGAGCUGGGAGACAGUAAGGACCCCCUGUCAGCUACCCAGCUGGUGCUGCGGCAGCCCCAUGAGACAAGCCCACCCUCCGCCCCCACUGCCGUCCCUCUUCCUCUCCUGCACGCCGACUGCUCACUCCGGCCCUGCUUCCUGCGUGUGCUGGGGCUCUUUCUGUCUCACUGAACCCCUGCAGCGGCUUCUGAGAGAGGAGCCGUGCCCAACUCUCUUUGCUCAUCUGCCACCGAGAGGCACUGUGGGGUGGUUGAAAGGGUGGCAGAGGCCACCCAGACUGCCGUCUGUCCAGUUCCCCAUGUUCCCUAUCUGUCCUCUCCUCCCAGGAGAUCCCCUGCCCUGGUCUGAGACGGGCAUGGAAGGAUGCACGUGGGGCCGCCUGUCUGUGUGGGCACCGAGCGUGGCUGCCCGCGGGAGGCGGCUCCACAGAGACUGGCAGCCCAUCUGUCAUGCCGGUCGCCACCUUUGUUCAUGGAGCAGAUACAUACCCAGAUCUGACAGCACAAUAUCAUUGCACCGCCGGCUCCCUCGGAUGCCCAGAUAAGCUGUCGAUCGGACCGGGCCCCUAGUCUCUCACUAUCCGGCUUUAUUUCGCCAUAAUAGCGGGGAAGAUGCAGUUGGUAACGACCCGUGACAGCUGCUAUAUUGAUAUUCCCAGUCUUGGGGAGAGAGAGAGGAAAAAAAAAAACAAACACUUGAUAAAAG